AACACCUGUCAUCAUCAGAGUCUGAUCACUAAGAACAAACACGCAGACAAAGGAAGCAGAUGGGUAAUUGCUUGAUUUAUGACAAAUUAUUGCUCUUUACACACAAACUUCUGUACAGAGACAGAAGAAGCAACAUAACAGAAACUGAAUAGGAACAGUGAUGAAAAUGCAGUCCACCUGGAAAACAAGGCUGAUAGAUGUGUGGUUACUCUUGUGGACCAAAGCUGAGGACUCCUAGCGGUGUUUUAGCUACACUGAAAUGAACUGCAGUAGAGUCAACAACAGCUUUGAGACAGUCCAAAACCCUGAGACUUUCAGUUUGCUAUCACAAACGACAAAGAAAUGCAGCAGAUCCUAACACUUGAGAAACUGGAACUAAGGAAUGUUUGGUAUAUUUGAUAAAUGCCUUAAAUGAUCAUCAAAAUAGUUUUUUUUAUCAAAUAGUUAAUAUUCUAUUAAUAAUUUUUGCUCUAAUUUGAAAUCUGUGGAUAUUUUGCCUCCCGUGCCCACACUGUGUCUCCAGUCUGACAGUACGACAAUAAAGCAAAACCCUGAUUAUUAAGGAAA